rnacentral:tRNA from 1 species
GGAGAGAUGGCCGAGUUUGGCUGAAGGCGCUCGCCUGCUAAGCGAGUAGACGGUCUAAACCGUCUCGAGGGUUCAAAUCCCUCUCUCUCCG